AGAGUCUGCCAGACAGAGCACAGGGCAGGUCACUGCCCCAGCCCUGUGCUCACCCCCCUACCAGCACUGCCUCAUUUGCUUCAGAAUUUCAGGAAGGAAAUGAACUUGCAAAGACAGUGGGUAGAAAAUUAAAAGGGGUGAAAACAAAUCCAAGGGGGAAGUCAUUUAGAUUUCCAGGUAAAUUGGUUGUUGAAUUGGCUUCUUGGACUGUUAUGAUUGGGAUCUCCUAGGGGUCAUCUUGUCUCUUUCCAGAUUCUAGGCAGGAGUCACCAUGAAAACUUAUAUCCUUUUCCUUAGAGUUACUGGGGCUGAGAGAAAUUAGCAGAUGAGUACAGAGGCAGACUUGAAUUUCCCCAUCAAAGCAAGUUGGGCAAGAGCAGAACUGACCAGGCUUAAAUGGCAGAAGUGUAGACAAAAGUGGACAGCCUGAAUCCUACCAUUCUUUGAGGCAGCAACAUGGUGUACAGAAGGAGCAUAGAUAGGCCUUGAAAUCAGACCCCGGGGUUAACCAGCUGGCCCUACCACCUGCUAGUUCUACACUCUGGACUACAGGAGAUAACAAAAAGAGUGUAGCUACUGCAUGAGAAGACUCAACUUUAUCACUGUGUGAUCUUGGGUAACUUGCAUACCUUCUCUGGACCCUAAUUUUCUCAUCAGAAAAAAAAUUUCCUAGAACAGGACUGUAUAUAAUAAAUAAAUACUAGUCCUUGUUGAGUAGUGUGUUGGAGCUACCUAGUACCAGCUCAUGAGAGCCAAUGUUAUGCCUCCCUUCCCAAAUUUGUGUUCAGUGACAUCACGUUGGUAGCUUGAAAUUGGCCAUGGUAGGAAUAUUUACACCAGAGAAAUUGGUAAUGCUACAAAUUAGGUGUAUUCUCACCUCCACCCCCCUUAGGAGAACUGAUUGUUCAACAUAUACCAGCAAACGGCUGCUCCUGCCUGUUUCAGCUGUUUGGAAUAGUGGGGUCUUAGAGCAUGUCCUCGGGCUCCUGAAAGCCACAGGCCAGCCCUUUGGAUGAUCUAUUUGCCUCCCAUACACCUCAACAAACUGUUCACUUCUAACAGGGAUUGUCAAAAUCUCCUUGAGGCCCUAUUAGAAAGCUGCAGUUCCUUGAUCUAUUCAGCACCAAGAGGCAAUUGUCGAGGAAGUUGAUUGUAGUUCAAAUCCAGGUAUCAAUUCAAAAUGUUUUUGCCUCAGACAACCGUGUGCGAUCAAUCAGUAAUGUAAUCCUCUGCUGGUAGAACACAAAAACAAAGCCCCACCUUGCCUUGUAAACACAACAUCAUUAGUCUUAGGAUAAACUAUAAAUUGAUGCAUAGAGCAAACAGCCAGAGCUGCAUCCCGGGGAAUGGGAGCAGAUGAAAUAGCAGUACUUUAUGGUGAAUGACAAAUCAUUGCUUGUUCCGUUCCCUAUCAAGUGGAACACCAUCAAUCACAUGGUGGACUCGUUGGGUUCCAAGACAGAUAGGACACCAUGAACAGAUGCUAUGGCUGAGACUGCUGGCCUGGGCAGCACUGUACUUUUUGCUUUUCCUGGAAGGGGAAGAAGAGAACAAUCCACUUUCUGUAUGGUCCUGUCCUUCAUUCGAGUUUAUAACGUUCUCCCCAGCUGAAGUCUACACAAUCUUUACCCAGACAUCAGAAACAGCUGUCUCAGGCAGAAGGCGCUUGACUCCAGGUGGGCGCUCAGCAGCAAGGGCAGGUGAAGGGCAUGGACAUCAGAUUGUUCUCCCCUCAGUCUUCAGUUUUUCAGCUAAGUUCUGACAUGACGACACAGACUGAACACCCUCAGACA
rnacentral:lncRNA from 1 species